ensembl:lncRNA
UGGUAGGCUGCCUAACAGCCGGGUUACUGAGGGGCUGUGAGGGUACCAUCGUGGUAGACUGCCUGACAGCUGGGUUACUGAGGGGCUGAGAGGUUACCAUCGUGGUAGGCUGCCUGACAGCCGGGUUACUGAGGGGCUGAGAGGUUACCAUCGUGGUAGGCUGCCUGACAGCCGGGUUACUGAGGGGCUGAGAGGUUACCAUCGUGGUAGGCUGCCUGACAGCCAGGUUACUGAGGGGCUGAGAUGUUACCAUUGUGGUAGGCUGCCUAACAGACACCCCGUAGAUUUGCUCCAGCAAUGUGUUCAGCGCUCGGUCAUGGCGCUCGGCCAAGAUCAG